CGGAGAAGGCUAUGUUGGCCGGGCGACGGUUGUCCCGGUUUAAGCGUGUAGGUGUGUGUUCCAGGUAAAUCCGGUUCACUUUAACACUGAGGCGUGAUGACGAGGCACUACGGUGCUGAAGCAACAAAUGCCCUGCUUCCAGGAAAAGCCUCUAAGCAUCAGGUAACAUCAAAUCGUACCCCAAACCGACACAGGUGGUCAGGUAGAGAAUACCAAGGCGCUUGAGAGAACUCGGGUGAAGGAACUAGGCAAAAUGGUGCCGUAACUUCGGGAGAAGGCACGCUGACACGUAGGUGAAGUGAUUUACUCACGGAGCUGAAGUCAGUCGAAGAUACCAGCUGGCUGCAACUGUUUAUUAAAAACACAGCACUGUGCAAACACGAAAGUGGACGUAUACGGUGUGACGCCUGCCCGGUGCCGGAAGGUUAAUUGAUGGGGUCAGCGCAAGCGAAGCUCCUGAUCGAAGCCCCGGUAAACGGCGGCCGUAACUAUAACGGUCCUAAGGUAGCGAAAUUCCUUGUCGGGUAAGUUCCGACCUGCACGAAUGGCGUAAUGAUGGCCAGGCUGUCUCCACCCGAGACUCAGUGAAAUUGAACUCGCUGUGAAGAUGCAGUGUACCCGCGGCAAGACGGAAAGACCCCGUGAACCUUUACUAUAGCUUGACACUGAACAUUGAGCCUUGAUGUGUAGGAUAGGUGGGAGGCUUUGAAGUGUGGACGCCAGUCUGCAUGGAGCCGACCUUGAAAUACCACCCUUUAAUGUUUGAUGUUCUAACGUGGACCCGUAAUCCGGGUUGCGGACAGUGUCUGGUGGGUAGUUUGACUGGGGCGGUCUCCUCCUAAAGAGUAACGGAGGAGCACGAAGGUUGGCUAAUCCUGGUCGGACAUCAGGAGGUUAGUGCAAUGGCAUAAGCCAGCUUGACUGCGAGCGUGACGGCGCGAGCAGGUGCGAAAGCAGGUCAUAGUGAUCCGGUGGUUCUGAAUGGAAGGGCCAUCGCUCAACGGAUAAAAGGUACUCCGGGGAUAACAGGCUGAUACCGCCCAAGAGUUCAUAUCGACGGCGGUGUUUGGCACCUCGAUGUCGGCUCAUCACAUCCUGGGGCUGAAGUAGGUCCCAAGGGUAUGGCUGUUCGCCAUUUAAAGUGGUACGCGAGCUGGGUUUAGAACGUCGUGAGACAGUUCGGUCCCUAUCUGCCGUGGGCGCUGGAGAACUGAGGGGGGCUGCUCCUAGUACGAGAGGACCGGAGUGGACGCAUCACUGGUGUUCGGGUUGUCAUGCCAAUGGCACUGCCCGGUAGCUAAAUGCGGAAGAGAUAAGUGCUGAAAGCAUCUAAGCACGAAACUUGCCCCGAGAUGAGU
rnacentral:rRNA from 1 species